UUUUACUUUUAUUGCAUUCAUUCAAUAAUAUAGCUUGAAUUAGUUUAAAAGUAAUAAACAUAACAAAUUAAAAAUUUCUCACAAAAACGCAUUUGUUUGUUGUUGUUUUUUUAGGAUACUUGCAUCUGGGAGUCGGAAGGAUACAUAUGCAUCUAUGCACAGCCUCAAAGGAACAAUACAGCCUUUGCCAUUUCUGCACACAGUCCUGAAGACACGCAGCGCUGGCACGAGGCCCUGCGGCAACAUCUCUACAACCUGGAACAGUGGAAGCACUCCUGUGACCAGCUCAUGAAGAUCGGAGCGCCGAAAUCAAAGAAACCCAGCCCGCUGCAGCAAGGAUCUCUUUUUCAUGAAAUAGUCAUUAAUUUCCCGACAAGACAACUCCAAAUGGAAACUCAAAUGAUGAAGAACUGCCGUGACUAAGGGAUCACAAGAUGUGUGGUGUUGAACCUUCAACCUCUGUUUUUUUGUUUUUUUUAUGAGAAAAACAAUCAAAGUGGGAAAAAAAACGUAACUAUACUUAAGUUAUAGUUGCAAAAGAUGUACAUAAUAAAACUAAAGUCAAAUAAACACUUGUUCUCAUUCCGGCUUAAUGGUUGCCUGCGGCCGACCUUUAUUUCUGAAUUUGCCACACGGGUGCCAACUUUAUCAACAAAGACAACAAAAAAAGGAUUUCUAUGAUCACAGCUAACAAAUAAGAAAGCUAAAGGCAUAAUAGGGGUUUUAACUGCUCCCUGGAUCUGUCAAAAUGAAUUUGUUAAAGCAUUUCUGGGCUUGAAUGUCAUUGCGAAACACAUGUGUGAGAUGCAGCAUAGCUUCAAGCUUCAGGGCGUCAUCACUUUGAUAAUUGUCCUGCUGUCAACAUCAGGAGAUUGAAAAAACAUAACACGUCUACCACACAAAUCCAGAAACAGAAUUCAUUUGUGCUGAUGAUCUGUCCCACAUUGUUCCUUCUUUAAUGGCCUUUUAAAUCCCACGAACUAUAAUUACUAUUAUAUAUAUAAUUUGUGCAAAGCAUUCAGCGUCUGGUGGGAGUGUCUGCUGUUUUUAUGCUGCCGUCACUCCAAAGGGGAAAAAAAAAAUGCAUUGCACGCUUUGAUUCAAAGGGUAAAAAUUAAAAUAAUUAUAGUUUGGACUUCCACCAUUUAUUCCAAAAGCAUAGUUAAUACAGUUUAAACAUUCUGAGUGUGUCUUUUUACAUUUUUUUUUUGGAUUAAUGUAG
rnacentral:lncRNA from 1 species